rnacentral:rRNA from 1 species
GAUGAACGCUGGCGGCGUGCCUAAUACAUGCAAGUCGAGCGAACAGACGAGGAGCUUGCUCCUCUGACGUUAGCGGCGGACGGGUGAGUAACACGUGGAUAACCUAUCUAUGAGACUGAGAUAACUUCGGGAAACCGGAUCUAAUACCGGAUAAGAUAUUGAACCGCGUGGUUCAAUAGUGAAAGACGGUUUUGCUGUUACUUGUUGGUAGUUCCUCGUCGCAUUAGCUAGUUGGUAAGGUAACGGCUUACCAAGGCAACGAUUCGUAGCCGACCUGAGAGGGUGAUCGGCCACACUGGAACUGAGACACGGUCCAGACUCCUACGGGAGGCAGCAGUAGGGAAUCUUGCGCAAUGGGCGAAAGCUUGACGGAGCAACGCCGCGUGAGUGAUGAAGGUCUUCGGAUCGUAAAACUCUGUUAUUAGGGAAGAACAAAUGUGUAAGUAAAUAUGCACGUCUUGACGGUACCUAAUCAGAAAGCCACGGCUAACUACGUG